GGGGGUGCACUGGUUUCGACGGGGGUUGCAAGGUCGCGCGGGGCAUGCCGAGGCGCUUGUCCUCGUAAAACCCGAGCAAUCGCAAACUUAACUGCGAACGACGAUAGCUACGCUCUGGCGGCUUAAUCCCCGCUAGACCUCGCACCGGGCGGCGUCCAGCCCGGGCCCAAGGGGCAACCCGGAAGGCGGCGAGGACCCAUUGGACGAUCGCGUCCGCCCGGGUCGCUUGGGCGAGGCGUUAAAGCAAGGCGACUGGUUCCCCCGCAGCCUGUCCGUCGGCGUCGGGGGGGCGAGAGCCAAACGACGAGACUAAGCAUGUAGUCCCGACGGUCGAGUGCUUCCGGACGCGAGUUCGAUUCUCGCCACCUCCACCA
rnacentral:tmRNA from 1 species